rnacentral:rRNA from 1 species
UACGUAGGCAGCGAGCGUUGUUCGGAGUUACUGGGCGUAAAGGGCUCGUAGGCGGCCAACUAAGUCGGACGUGAAAUCCCUCGGCUUAACCGGGGAACUGCGUCCGAUACUGGAUGGCUUGAGUUCGGGAGAGGGAUGCGGAAUUCCAGGUGUAGCGGUGAAAUGCGUAGAUAUCUGGAGGAACACCGGUGGCGAAGGCGGCAUCCUGGACCGACACUGACGCUGAGGAGCGAAAGCCAGGGGAGCAAACGGG